rnacentral:miRNA from 1 species
UAAAUCAGUCAUCAGUCAGAGA